GCCGGGGUGCCCGAGCGGUCAAGGGGGUAGGCUCGAGACCUUUCCAGCGUUACUGCGAGGGACCUACUGCCUCUCUGAGGCACACGGGUUCGAAUCCCGUCCCCGGCG
rfam:Sulfolobus solfataricus P2, complete genome.